AAAAGUCGUAACAAGGUCUCCGUUGGUGAACCAGCGGAGGGAUCAUUACAGAGUGUAAAAACUCCCAAACCCAUGUGAACCUACCAUUGUUGCCUCGGUGGGCGCCUCCGGACGCCUGCCGACGGUCUUCUAAAACUCUUUGUAUUUUGAAUCUCUGAGUCAACUUUUAAAUAAGUAAAAACUUUCAACAACGGAUCUCUUGGUUCUGGCAUCGAUGAAGAACGCAGCGAAAUGCGAUAAGUAAUGUGAAUUGCAGAAUUCAGUGAAUCAUCGAAUCUUUGAACGCACAUUGCGCCCACUAGUAUUCUGGUGGGCAUGCCUGUUCGAGCGUCAUUAAGUCCACUCAAGCUUAGUUGCUUGGAAUUGGGAGACUACUCUACCUGUAGCUCCUCAAAGACAGCGGCGGAGUUGUGAUAUCCUCUGAGCUUAGUAAUUAUUUCUAGCUUUUGAAGAGUCGCAGUUCCCGCCGUAAAACACCCAUCAUUUUUAAUGGUUGACCUCGGAUCAGGUAGGAAUACCCGCUGAACUUAAG
rnacentral:rRNA from 1 species